rnacentral:tRNA from 1 species
GCGCCCAUAGCUCAACUGGAUAGAGCAACUGACUUCUAAUCAGUAGGUUUCAGGUUCAAGUCCUGAUGGGCGCGCCA